GUUCGCUCUCUCUGCUGGUAGAGUUCAACAUGUGUACCACCAUACAUUGCUAAGUUAAGGGGGCUUUGUGUUGUUUUUCAGAGAAAAACCCAAAUUGAUAGUAUUUAAACUGUAAAGUAGCUUGUUUACUAAACAGGCGCCAAAGCCUAAAUUCUGCAAAAAGUGUAUUCGUUUAACAUGACGCACCCUUUGCUAUGUAUGCCUUAAAUGUUUCCAGAGUUUGGUGUAAUUGGACUUAGUGGUUCAUUGAUUACCGGGUGGUUUAGGGUGACGUCUUAUUGUUUACUGGUCUCACACAUUUUUAUGGGAUUUUAACCUGUUUUCAGAAUAAAAUUUUAGUUCUAUUCAAGCUACAGCAGUACAACAUAAAGCAAACGACUUGUGUAAGUUCGCUCGCUUCCCUGGUGGAGUUCAACAUGUGUACUACCAUACAUUGCUAAGUUAAGGGGGCUUUGUGUUGUUUUUCAGAGAAAAACACCAAAUUGAUAGUAUUUAAACUGUAAAAUCCCAUAGAUUUUAACCGGUUUUCAGAAUGUUAUUUUACUUCUAUUUAAGCUACACCAGUAUACAACAUAGAGCAAACGACUUGUCUAUGU